rnacentral:rRNA from 1 species
UCGAGGAUCAUUCGCAAUGGGCGCAAGCCUGACGGUGCGACGCCGCGUGUAGGAUGAAGGCCUUCGGGUCGUAAACUACUGUCAUGAGGGAGCAACGGUUCUGGUGUUAACACCACCGGGAAGUGGUAGUACCUCAGGAGGAAGCCACGGCUAACUCUGUGCCAGCAGCCGCGGUAAUACAGAGGCGGCAAGCGUUGUUCGGAUUUACUGGGCGUAAAGGGUGCGUAGGCGGUUCCGUGUGUCGGAUGUGAAAUUUCACUGCUUAACGGUGGAACUGCAUCCGAAACUACGGGGCUAGAGUACAGGAGAGGAGAGCGGAAUUCUCGGUGUAGCGGUGAAAUGCGUAGAUAUCGAGAGGAACACCGGUGGCGAAGGCGGCUCUCUGGACUGAUACUGACGCUGAGGCACGAAAGCUGGGGGAGCAAACAG